AUGGCAGAGAACGACGUGGACAAUGAGCUUUUGGACUAUGAAGACGAUGAGGUGGAAACAGCAGCUGGGGGAGACGGGGCUGAGGCCCCUGCCAAGAAGAAGUCAAGGGCUCGUAUGUCUCUAUCCACAGCUCUGGCUUUCGUGACUUCCUGCUCAAGCCAGAGUUGCUCCGGGCCAUUGUUGACCGUGGCUUUAAGCAUCCGUCAGAAGUCCAGCAUGAGUGCAUCCCUCAGACCAUUCUGGGGAUGGAUGUCCUAUGUCAGGCCAAGUCAGGCAUGGGAAAAACAGCAGGAUUUGUGCUGGCCACAUUGCAACAGCUGGAGCCAGUUACUGGGCAGGUGUCUGUGCUGGUGAUGUGUCAUACUCAGGAGUUGGCUUUUCAGUACAGCAAGGAAUAUGAGCACUUCUCUAAAUAUAUGCCCAAUGUGAAGGUUGCUGUGUUUUUUGGUGGUCUGUCUAUCAAGAAAGAUGAAGAGGUGCUGAAGAAGAACUGCCUGCAUAUCGUUGUGGGGACUCCUGGCUGGACCCUAGCCCUGGCUUGAAAUAAGAGCCUCAACCUCAAAUACAUUAAACACUUUAUUUUGGAUGAAUGUGAUAAGAUGCUUGAACAGCUCGACAUGCGUCGGGACGUCCAGGAAAUUUUUCGCAUGACCCCCCACGAGAAGCAGGUCAUGAUGCUUAGUGCUACCUUGAGCAAAGAGAUCCGUCCAGUCUGCCGCAAGUUCAUGCAAGAUCCAUUGGAGAUCAUGGAUGCUGCAUGGGUUACAGCAGUACUACGUGAAACUGAAGGACAACGAGAAGAACCGGGAGCUCUUUGACCUUCUGGAUAUCCUUGAGUUCAACCAGGUGGUGAUUUUUGUGAAGUCUGUGCAGCGGUGCAUUGCCCUGGCCCAGCUUCUGGUGGAGCAGAACUUCCCAGCCAUUGCCAUCCACCAUGGAAUGCCCCAGGAGGAGAGGUUUUCCCGGUAUCAGCAGUUUAAAGAUUUCCAACAACGAAUUCUUGUGGCUACCAACCUAUUUGGCCAAGGCAUGGACAUUGAACAGGUGAACAUUGCCUUUAACUAUGACAUGCCUGAGGAUUCUGACACAUACCUGCAUCAGGUGGCCAGAGCAGGCCGGUUUGGUACCAAGGGCUUGGCCAUCACAUUUGUGUCAGAUGAGAAUGACGCCAAGAUCCUCAGUGAAGUGCAGGAUCGCUUUGAGGUCAAUAUUAGUGAGCUGCCUGAUGAGAUAGACAUCUCCUCCUACAUUGAACAGUCACGGUAGAGGACUCAUCUAUUCUGGAAUGUGAUGGUCUGUCCUUCAAGAGAGGAUACCCAGUGUGGGGGUGAAGGAGACACUACUGCCACCUCCCCUGACAGCACCCACCCCCUACCCCAAGGCUUCCUUCUGUUGCAUCACCACCACUCCUAAAUCCCCAUUCCCAAUUGUCAAGUUUUUUUUAACAAAACUAAAAAUGAAAC